UUUUUGUUUUUUUUUUCUGGUGGACGGACCCAAAUCUUCCUUCCUGAAAGGUCUAGGCCAUUUGUAGCCAUGCCUGAAAUGGGCUGUUGUAGUUUCUCACCGACCUUAAUCACAGGACAUGGUAAUACUAAGAGACACUCUAAUGGAUCUCCUGUAUUCCAUGCAUACUCUUCUUUACCUCCAUUGUGGAGUAGUAGACUGAUUUCAUCUUGAUAGCCUGGGUCAAUCACCCCAGCCAACACUGGAAGUCCCUUCUUAGCCUCUUGACUUAAAGGUAGGAGGAGCCCAGUGUCCUGGUGGCAAUCCUAACUUCCAUUUUAAUGGAACCGUUGUUGUGUCUCCUGGUGGCAGCAUUCCUCCCUCUGGAAUUAAGACAUCUAGGCCAGCAGAACUUAAUGCUGCAAAAACAGGAAGCAAAAUUUUGCUGGUGGGUCGCUAGGAAUCAUGGUGAGUGGUGCCACUUUCACUUCCACCCUUUGGUUCCUGGACCUCUGAAUCCUGGCAAUGGGAGAAACAGUACCAUAUAUUGAAUGGUGAUUCAGAGCAUACACAGCCUUCUGGAGAACUUUUCCCCAGCUCUGCAAAGUAUUGUCACCUAGUUGGUGUUGUAAUUGUGACUUCAAAAGGCCAUUACACCAUUCUAUCAAUCCAGCUGCUUCAGGACGAUGGGGAACAUGGAAAGACCAGUGAAUUCCAUAAGCAUUAGCCCACUGCCACACUUCUUUAGCUGUAAAGUGAGUACCUUGGAAAGAGGCAAUGCUGUAUGGAAUACCAUGACAAUGGUUAAGGCAUUCCAUGAAUCCACGGAUGGUAGUUGUUGCAGAAACAUUGUGUUCAGGAUAGGCAUAGCCAUAUCCAGAGUAAGUAUCUAUUCCAGUGAGGACAAACCUCUUCCCUUUCCAUGAUGGCAGAGGUCCAACAUAAUCAACCUGUCACCAGGUAGCUGGCUGAUCACCCUAAGGAACGGUGCCAUAUCGAGGGUUCAGUGUUGGUCUCUGCUGCUGGCAAAUUGGGCACUCAGCAGUGGCCUUAGCCAGGUCAACCUUGGUGAGUGGAAGUCCAUGUUGCUGAGCCCAUGCGUAACCUCCAUCUCUGCCACCAUGACCACUUUGUCCAUGGGCCCAUUGAGUGAUGACAGGGGUGGCUGUAGAAAGAGGCUGAGUGGUGUCCACAGAAUGGGUCAUCCUAUCCACCUGAUUAUUAAAAUCAUCCUCUGCUGAGGUCACCCAUUGGUGAGCACUCACAUAGGAUACAAUUAUCAUCAGUCUUCGACCACUCAGAAGGGUUCAUCCAUAUACCUUUUCCCCAAAUGUCUUUGUCACCAAUUUUCCAAUCAUGCUUCUUCCAAUUCCCUGACCAUCCAGCCAAAGCAUUGGUUAUGGCCCAUGAAUCAGUAUAUAAGCUCACAUCUGGUCAUUUCUCCUUCUAUGCAAAGUGUAUAGUUAGGUGCUCUGCUCGAAGUUCUGCCCACUGGGAAGAUUUCCUCCACUGCUGUCCUUCUGGGGUAUCCUAGAAAGGGGCUGUAGUACUGCAGCUGACCACUUUUGGGUGAUGUCUGUGUAUCAUGCAGAAUCAUCUGUGAACAGGCUCUAGUCUUCUCUUCCUGUGCCAACUAAGCAUAGGAAACUUACCAUGAGGCUGUUGGUGCAGGCUAAGGGGAGAGAAGGCAGGGUGACAGAAGUGGAGACCAGGGGCAUUUGAGCGACUUCCUCAUGUAACUUACUUGUGUCUUUAGGACCUGCUCGAGCUCAAUCAUGUGUAUACCACUUCUCUUUGAUGACGGAAUGUUGCUGUGCAUGACCCACUUUUUGGCUAGAUGGGUCAGAAGGCACCCAGUUCAUGAUAGGUAGUUUAGGUCGCAUGGUGACUUGAUGACCCAUAGUCAAAAAUCAGUUUCCACCAAAGCCCAGUAACAGGUCAAGAGCUGUCUCUCAAAAGAAGCAUAGUUAUCUGCAUAAGAUGGCAGGACUUUGCUCCCAUAUCCUAGAGGCCUCUGCUGUGAUUCGCCAAGGGCGGCUUGUCAAGGGCUACAGACAAUAUCCCUAUCUGCCACUGACACCUCAAGCGCCAUUGGAUCUUCUGGGUCAUAUGGCCCAAGUGGCAGAGCAGCUUUCACAGCAGUCUGGACUUGUUGCAGAGCCAUCUUCUGUUCUGGAACACACUCAAAACUGGAAGCCUUUCAAGUCACUCAAUAAAUAGGCUAGAGUAACACACUCAAAUGAGGAAUGUGUUGCCUCCAAAACCCAAAUGGGCCCACUAGGCAUUGUGCCUCUUUCUUGGUUGUAGGACAUGCGAAAUGCCGAAAAUUUCCUUCAUCUUAGAAGUAAUAUCUCGACGGGUCCCACAAGACUGGACCCCUAGAAAUUUUACUGAGGUAGACGUUCCCUGAAUUUUAGUCAGAUUUUUUUUUCCCCAUCAUCUGGCAUGCAAAUGUCUCACCAAUAAGUCCAGUAUGUUUGCCACUUCUUGCUCACUGGAUGCAACCAGCAUAAUGUCAUCAAUGUAAUGGAUCAUUGUGAUAUAUUGUGGAAGUAGAAAACUAUCAAGAUCUCUCUGAAUGAAAUUAUGACACAAAGCCAGAGAGUUGGUAUACCUCUGAGGUA
ensembl:lncRNA